AUGGCAGACAUCGACAACAAAGAACAGUCUGAACUUGAUCAAGAUUUGGAUGAUGUUGAAGAAGUAGAAGAAGAAGAAACUGGUGAAGAAACAAAAAUCAAAGCGCGUCAGCUGACUGUUCAGAUGAUGCAAAAUCCUCAGAUUCUUGCAGCCCUUCAAGAAAGACUUGAUGGUCUGGUAGAAACACCAACAGGAUACAUUGAAAGCUUGCUUAGGGUAGUUAAAAGACGAGUGAAUGCUCUCAAAAACCUUCAAGUUAAAUGUGCACAGAUAGAAGCCAAAUUCUAUGAGGAAGUUCAUGAUCUUGGAAGAAAGUAUGCUGUUCUUUAUCAGCCUCUGUUUGAUAAGCGAUUUGAGAUCGUUAAUGCCAUUUAUGAACCUACAGAAGAAGAGUGUGAAUGGAAACCAGAUGAGGAAGAUGAAAUUUCAGAGGAGCUAAAAGAAAAGGCCAAGAUUGAAGAUGAGAAAAAGGAUGAAGAAAAAGAAGAUCCCAAGGGACUUCCUGAGUUUUGGUUGACCAUUUUUAAGAAUGUUGACUUGCUCAGUGAUAUGGUUCAGGAACAUGUGAGCCUAUUCUGAAGCACUUGAAAGAUAUUAAAGUGAAGUUCUCAGAUGCUGGUCAACCUAUGAGUUUUGUCUUAGAAUUUCACUUUGAACCCAAUGAAUAUUUCACAAAUGAAGUGUUGACAAAGACAUAUAGGAUGAGGUCAGAACCAGAUGAUUCUGAUCCCUUUUCUUUUGAUGGACCAGAAAUUAUGGGUUGUACAGGGUGCCAGAUAGAUUGGAAAAAAGGGAAGAAUGUCACUUUGAAAACGAUUAAGAAGAAGCAGAAACACAAGGGACGUGGGACAGUUCGUACUGUGACCAAAACAGUUUCUAAUGACUCUUUCUUUAAUUUUUUUGCCCCUCCUGAAGUUCCUGAGAGUGGAGAUCUGGAUGAUGAUUCUGAAGCUAUCCUCGCUGCAGACUUUGAAAUUGGUCACUUUUUAUGUGAGCGUAUAAUCCCAAGAUCAGUGUUUACUUUACUGGAGAAGCUAUUGAAGAUGAUGACGAUGAUUAUGAUGAAGAAGGUGAAGAAGCAGAUGGGGAAGGGGAAGAAGAAGGAGAUGAGGAAAAUGAUCCAGACUAUGACCCAAAGAAGGAUCAAAACCCAGCAGAGUGCAAGCAACAGUGA
rnacentral:lncRNA from 1 species